UUAUGACCUACCCUAAAGCCGGACAAUAAAAGCAAGAGCUUAAAAUCUAAAGAUUUUGGCGGUAUCUUAUAAAAUCAGGGGAACCUGUCCCUUAAUAUGAUAGUCCACAAAAAAUUUUCCCUCACUCGAAUCUCAGCCUGUAUACCGCUGUCAUCAGCAAACCUUUAAAAGAGUUUGCACCAACAACCUUUUAUCUAUGUCAAGUCAAAGUGCAGCCUAUGUGAGGGAGCGAGAUGGGUUACAACUCAAACAAAAAAACGAAAACACAAUAUUGUGUAGAAGGUGGACUUGAUAGUAAUGAUUAAAAGUCAUGAAUCUCUAUCUAAGAUAUGCACACAUCGCCCGCACUCUUGUCUAAAGACA
rnacentral:rRNA from 1 species